rfam:Asian citrus Psyllid, Diaphorina citri - Florida Strain, whole genome shotgun sequence.
GCUCCCAUGGUGUAAUGGUCACUGUGCUCGCCUUGCACGCGGGAGACCCGGGUUCAACUCCCGGGCGGUGUA